AACGCGAAGAACCUUACCCAGGCUUGAACUGCAGGUGACAUCCUACGAAAGUAGGCUUCCGCAAGGACACCUGUAGAAGUGCUGCAUGGCUGUCGUCAGCUCGUGUCGUGAGAUGUUGGGUUAAGUCCCGCAACGAGCGCAACCCUUGUCUUCUGUUGCCAUCAGGUUAUGCUGGGCACUCUGAAGAGACUGCCGGUGACAAACCGGAGGAAGGUGGGGAUGACGUCAAGUCCGCAUGGCCUUUAUGUCCAGGGCUACACACGUGCUACAAUGGGCGGUACAAAGGGUUGCAAAGCCGCGAGGCAGAGCUAAUCCCAAAAAACCGUCCUCAGUUCGGAUUGCAGUCUGCAACUCGACUGCAUGAAGCUGGAAUCGCUAGUAAUCCCGGAUCAGCACGCCGGGGUGAAUACGUUCCCGGGCCUUGUACACACCG
rnacentral:rRNA from 1 species